UGUUCCCGUAAGAACACAGAAGUUAAGCAAUGUCGAGCCUGGUCAGUACCUAGAUAGGUGACCACUUUGGAAUACCAGGUGCUGCAAG